AUAAAGUUUAAUUCUAGCUUAAAAAUUUAUUUAAUUUUUUUUUUACAUGUAAAUUUUUGUAAGAGUAUUAAUUUAAUUUUAAAAAUUAAGUUAUUAUGUUUUAUUCGCAGUAUUUAAUUUUAAUAAUUUAAGAAAUUAAGAAUUAGAAAUAAAUUUUAAUAUUAACAAAUUUUGUGCCAGCAGUUGCGGUUAUACAAAAGAUAUAAAUAAAUUAUAUUAGUAAAUAAUUAUAUGAAUUAUUGAUAAAUUAAAAUUAUAUUUAUUAGGUGAAAUUUUAACUAUAAUUAUAUUUUAUAAUUAAAUUUUUAUUAUUAUGAAAUUUAUAUUUAAACUAGGAUUAGAUACCCUAUUAUUUUAAAUGUAAAAAUUUAUUACUAAAAUAGUAUUAGUUAUGUUCUUUAAAAUUAAAGAUUUUGGCGGUAUUUUAGUCUAUUUAGAGGAACCUGUUCUAUAAUUGAUAAUCCACGAUUAACUUUACUUAAUUUAUAAAUUUGUAUACCGUCGUUAUUAGAAAAUUUUAAUAGAAUAUAAAUUUUUAAUAUUUUAAAUUAAAAAAUAUAUCAGAUCAAGGUGCAGUUAAUAUUUAAGAAGAAAUGGGUUACAAUAAAUUUAUUUAUACGGAUUAAAGUAAUAAAUGCUUUAUAAAGGUGGAUUUAAUAGUAAUAAGAUUUAUUUUAAUUUUAUGAUUUUAGCUCUAAAAUAUGUACAUAUCGCCCGUCGCUCUUAUUAUAAGAUAAGAUAAGUCGUAACAUAGUAGAUGUACUGGAAAGUGUAUCUAGAAUGA
rnacentral:ncRNA from 1 species